rnacentral:rRNA from 1 species
GAUCAAGCGCAUAAGGGCUUCUGAAGGAUGCCUUGGCGUCGAGAGGCGAUGAAGGACGUGGCACGCUGCGAUAAGUACCGGGGAGGCGCGAGCACGAAACAUCUCAGUACCCGGAGGAAAGGACAUCAACCGAGACUCCCGUAGUAGUGGCGAGCGAACCGGGACCAGGCCAGUGCUGUCGUGACAUAAAGCUGAACGAUCCUGGAAAGAUCGGCCAUAGCGGGUGAUAGCCCCGUAAGCGUCAAAUAGCGACAGACUCGAGUAGGGCGGGACACGUGAAAUCCUGUCUGAACAUGGGGGGACCACCCUCCAAGCCUAAGUACUCCUCGACGACCGAUAGUGAACAAGUACCGUGAGGGAAAGGUGAAAAGCACCCCGACGAGGGGAGUGAAAUAGAACCUGAAAUCGGAAGCCUACAAGCAGUCGGAGCCACCAAGCGUGGUGACGGCGUACCUUUUGUAUAAUGGGUCAGCGACUUCAUGUGCCGUGCAAGCUUAAGCCGUUAGGUGUAGGCGCAGCGAAAGCGAGUCUGAAUAGGGCGAAUUAAGUACGUCGCAUGACGACCCGAAACCAGGUGAUCUAGCCAUGAGCAGGUUGAAGGUUGGGUAACACCAACUGGAGGACCGAACCCGUGAAUGUUGAAAAAUUCUGGGAUGACUUGUGGCUAGGGGUGAAAGGCCAAUCAAACCUGGACAUAGCUGGUUCUCCGCGAAAUCUAUUUAGGUAGAGCGUUCGAUGUAUUCCUUGGGGGGUAGAGCACUGGAUGGAUGCGGGCGGCGCGAGCUGUACCAAUUCUAACCAAACUCCGAAUACCCAAGAGAACUAUCGGGCAGACACACGGCGGGUGCUAACGUCCGUCGUGAAAAGGGAAACAACCCUAACCAUCAUCUAAGGCCCCCAAGUACUGGCUAAG